GAUGAACGCUGGCGGCGUGCCUAAUACAUGCAAGUAGAACGCUGAAGGAAGGAGCUUGCUCUUUCCGGAUGAGUUGCGAACGGGUGAGUAACGCGUAGGUAACCUGCCUGGUAGCGGGGGAUAACUAUUGGAAACGAUAGCUAAUACCGCAUAACAGUAGAUGUUGCAUGACAACUAUUUGAAAGGGGCAAUUGCUCCACUACCAGAUGGACCUGCGUUGUAUUAGCUAGUUGGUGAGGUAACGGCUCACCAAGGCGACGAUACAUAGCCGACCUGAGAGGGUGAUCGGCCACACUGGGACUGAGACACGGCCCAGACUCCUACGGGAGGCAGCAGUAGGGAAUCUUCGGCAAGGGACGGAAGUCUGACCGAGCAAAGCCGCGUGAGUGAAGAAGGUUGUCGGAUCGUAAAGCUCUGUUGUAAGAGAAGAACGAGUGUGAGAGUGGAAAGUUCACACUGUGACGGUAUCUUACCAGAAAGGGACGGCUAACUACGUG
rnacentral:rRNA from 1 species